UACAAAAUCUAUGGUUGCCCUGGGGUGAGGACAGAGAGCACCCAGGGAGCACUGCUGGUGUGGACUUGGAAGGCCACAGCUUUGGGAACCAGGCUCCAGCCCUUUUCUGCACUGAAGGUUCCGUGAAGUGGAGCCAACUCCUCAACCCAGGCCAGUACCUCAGUCUUCUCAACUGAAAAGUGGGACUACUGUUGCCCCUAAGGUAACAUCCCUGGUGCCCUAUUUGGAGGGAAAAGCCAUUUUCAAGUGCUAGACCCACGUUGCCAGCCUGACAGAAGAGGGAUUGCUGGUUCCUUCUCAUUCUGUUUUGCCUCUGUUCAAAGUCGAGAGAGGCACCUGGGUGAGACGGCGAAGCCAGAGGAGGAGGCUGCAGAGAGCAAGGAGCUCAGGGGUUUAAAAAAACCUCACCCGCUUUUGUUUUGCAAGUCCUUACUGGUCUGUCCACAGCCACCCCAGGGCACCUUUUCAUCUCUGGCGUUGUUAAUAAUGACUUUCACCCCAGACCAUCUUGGAAGCUGAUCCUGCUGCAGCCUCACCUGUACAACUUGGUCCAAAAAAAAAAAAAAAAAAAAAAAAA